GUGAGAGGAAAAACAAGUGCUACCUUGAGAGAUUGCAAAGGCUUGUUGAGUGUAAGGUUGAAUACCCUUAACCCUACAAUUUUCAUAUGCUACCACCUUUUUCAAAGGGUGAAUGUCAAACACGAGCCAACAUUGUGGUGCGAUUUAACUUUCUGUUGGGAAUGCAAACUUUGUCUCAUUAGGUAUGAUAUAAGGUGUCAUGUCACCACAUUCUCAUUACUCGUUCCAUCAUCUUUUGUUUUCAUGUUUUGAGAGUGCUUGUGAGAAGUGAGAGCUUGAGGAAUCUCACAAAAAGGGUAGCCAACCAAUAUUCACCUACCAUCCUUAGAAGAACUUGUUCAGGCUUUCAUCCUUAUCUAUGGCAAAGGGAAGCAUUGUGUAGAGCUUGGACUUGGACUGGUCAUAACGUACUGGAAAAAUAGGGAAAAAUAUCAGUCUUCAAAUACCAAGAUGGGUCUAGAGUACCCUAAAGAGCAUUCCCAAG